rnacentral:tRNA from 1 species
AUUUAAAUAGUUUAAUUAAAAUUUUAGUUUGUGGAACUAAAGAUAUGAAGAAUUCAUUUUAGAUA